AACGAACGCUGGCGGCAGGCCUAACACAUGCAAGUCGAACGGGCGUAGCAAUACGUUAGUGGCGCACGGGAGAGUAACGCGUGGGAACCUACCUUUUGGUUCGGGAUAACACCGGGAAACUGGUGCUAAUACCGGAUAAGCCCCAUGGGGGAAAGAUUUAUCGCCGAAAGAUGGGCCCGCGUUGGAUUAGCUAGUUGGUGGGGUAAUGGCUCACCAAGGCAACGAUCCAUAGCUGGUCUGAGAGGAUGAUCAGCCUCACUGGGACUGAGACACGGCCCAGACUCCUACGGGAGGCAGCAGUGGGGAAUAUUGGACAAUGGGGGCAACCCUGAUCCAGCCAUGCCGCGUGAAUGAUGAAGGCCUUCGGGUUGUAAAGUUCUUUUGGUGGGGACGAUGAUGACGGUACCCACAGAAUAAGCUCCGGCUAACUUCGUGCCAGCCGCCGCGGUAACAC
rnacentral:rRNA from 1 species